rnacentral:rRNA from 1 species
UUACAAGAGAGUUUGAUCCUGGCUCAGGAUGAACGCUGGCGGCGUGCCUAAGGCAUGCAAGUUGAAAGCUGUCGCUCUCGAGCGACGGCUUGGCAAACGGGAGAGUAACACAUUGGUAACCUACCUCUAAGACGGGGAUAACCUUGCGAAAGCGAGGAUAAUACCCGAUAGUAUUGAAAGGCAUAAGUUUUUCAAUUAAAUGCUCCGACGCUUAGAGAGGGGCCUAUGGCCUAUCAGUUUGUUGGUGAGGUAAAAGCUCACCAAGACUAUGACGGGUAUGGGGUGCGAGAGCAUGGACCCACUCACUGGGACUGAGACACUGCCCAGACUCCUACGGGAGGCUGCAGUCAGGAAUAUUCCUCAAUGGACGAAAGUCUGAAGGAGCGAC